rnacentral:rRNA from 1 species
AUUGAACGCUGGCGGCAUGCUUUACACAUGCAAGUCGAACGGCAGCGCGGGCUUCGGCCUGGCGGCGAGUGGCGAACGGGUGAGUAAUGCAUCGGAACGUGCCCAGUAGUGGGGGAUAGCCCGGCGAAAGCCGGAUUAAUACCGCAUACGACCUGAGGGUGAAAGCGGGGGACCGAAAGGCCUCGCGCUAUUGGAGCGGCCGAUGUCGGAUUAGCUAGUUGGUGGGGUAAAGGCUUACCAAGGCGACGAUCCGUAGCUAGUCUGAGAGGACGACCAGCCACACUGGGACUGAGACACGGCCCAGACUCCUACGGGAGGCAGCAGUGGGGAAUUUUGGACAAAGGGGGCAACCCUGAUCCAGCCAUGCCGCGUGCGGGAAGAAGGCCUUCGGGUUGUAAACCGCUUUUGUUCGGGAAGAAAUCCUCUGGGCUAAUACCCCGGGGGGAUGACGGUACCGGAAGAAUAAGCACCGGCUAACUACGUG